rnacentral:rRNA from 1 species
CCUACGGGUGGCAGCAGUGAGGAAUAUUGGUCAAUGGACGAGAGUCUGAACCAGCCAAGUAGCGUGAAGGAUGACUGCCCUAUGGGUUGUAAACUUCUUUUAUAUGGGAAUAAAAUGUUCCACGUGUGGGAUUUUGUAUGUACCAUAUGAAUAAGGAUCGGCUAACUCCGUGCCAGCAGCCGCGGUAAUACGGAGGAUUCGAGCGUUAUCCGGAUUUAUUGGGUUUAAAGGGGGCGUAGGUGGUUUGUUAAGUCAGUUGUGAAAGUUUGCGGCUCAACCGUAAAAUUGCAGUUGAAACUGGCAGUCUUGAGUACAGUAGAGGUGGGCGGAAUUCGUGGUGUAGCGGUGAAAUGCUUAGAUAUCACGAAGAACUCCGAUUGCGAAGGCAGUUCACUGGACUGCAACUGACACUGAGGCUCGAAAGUGUGGGUAUCAAACAGGAUUAGAUACCCUUGUAGUC